GACGAACGCUGGCGGCGUGCCUAAUACAUGCAAGUUGAGCGAUGAAGAUUGGUGCUUGCACCAAUUUGAAGAGCAGCGAACGGGUGAGUAACGCGUGGGGAAUCUGCCUUUGAGCGGGGGACAACAUUUGGAAACGAAUGCUAAUACCGCAUAACAACUUUAAACAUAAGUUUUAAGUUUGAAAGAUGCAAUUGCAUCACUCAAAGAUGAUCCCGCGUUGUAUUAGCUAGUUGGUGAGGUAAAGGCUCACCAAGGCGAUGAUACAUAGCCGACCUGAGAGGGUGGUCGGCCACAUUGGGACUGAGACACGGCCCAAACUCCUACGGGAGGCAGCAGUAGGGGAUCUUCGGCAAUGGACGAAAGUCUGGCCGAGCAACGCCGCGUGAGUGAAGAAGGGUUUCGGAUCGUAAAACUCUGUUGGUAGAGAAGAACGUUGGUGAGAGUGGAAAGCUCAUCAAGUGACGGUAACUACCCAGAAAGGGACGGCUAACUACGUG
rnacentral:rRNA from 1 species